UUGAAAACUUCCUCGACAUGGUGCCAGGUGGUCAGUUUGGAGCCAUCUCCGAGCAAAUAUUCAGUUAGCAUUAGGUUAGACCUGGCAGUCUCGUUCAAAGUUGUGAAAAUAUACCUCUGCCACAGAAAUAUUGUUUGAAUCCUCUGUACUAUUGAUAUAGCACUUUACUCCAGUGAUUGUUUGACCAAUGAGAAUUUGGUUUGAUCAGAGCAUACUGACCGACCAACUGACCGGUUGAUGCUCCAGCUCCAGAGAAUAUGUUUGUGUAUCUUGCCUGAUUGGAUUUUGUGUAUUCCUGCUUUGGCUGGAAGCUUUGGGGGCCUUUAAGGACUCUUGUCUCAUGAUCUGCCCAUACAUCUGGCAUUUUUUUCAAAGACGGAAAAUCACCAGGGGACAUUUGUUUCAACAAGGUGCUCCAGUUUCUUCUCGCAGCCCAAAGACAUGCAGGUUGGGUUAAUUGGACACUCUCUAAAGCCUUAAGCUGUGACGGUGAGCCAACAUGCACAGCAACAAAACCCAGAAGCAACCAGCAAUCAUUUAUUAUUUACAUCUGUACUUUUCCUGUGGUAACAAAUCUAAAAGUCUAAAGUGAAAACUGCAUUUGGUUGUUUAUCUUUACACGUCAGUGCUGUAACAGGCUGAAGUUACUCUGCAUUCUUUUGCUGUUGUGUUCAGAUACAUCAAUAAAAUAUGCAGAUAAUCAACAGAUGUUACUUUGAUGAUUUUAUGUGGGAGAAAUUGUUUUUUGAGUGCAUUUGUUUCAGAUUUCUUACAUUUAGGGCAAGAGCUUUAUUGCAUGUUAGCCUUCAUCUCUCUCCCCUCAUUUCAUAUCAUCUCCACUAGGUGCUAUUGAAUAAAAGCACAUAAUACCUGCAUAAAAAGUCAAAAUCCAAUGACUCAGUAGUCAUCACUCAUGUAUCAGUGCAGCGUUGCUUUGUAGAAUUUCUAGCAACUAGUUCACUGAGUAAAUUAAAUUUUUAGUGGACUGUGUAAGACAUUCAUUACCUUGUACAAGGUCAAAUGUAGUGGACAAACUUAUGUGAGUAAAUUCCCCAAACCUGAAUUGUCAUCCUUUUUUAAAAUUUCAUAGAUAAUAACAUUGGAUAGCUUAAUAUUACAUGUAGAGCAAAAUUUUGCCAAAUUUGAAACAUCCCUGGUUUUCAAUUUCAAUUUAGAAAUCUGGUCAAUUCAAUUUAAAGGAUAUUUCCAGUUUAAUUUUAUGCACGGAUGAAAUAGCAGCGUGAUCAAGUCAGACAGUACGUAUCCUUGGAUGGAGAUGCCCAAUGCAGUUAACAAAAUGUCCAGUGCUGAGGACAAAUUUCUCUGGAGGCUUUCAGUCAGACCCUAAAACUUAAAUUUUGAAAAUUAUUUACCACAAAAUUUGUUUUUUGGGAAGCAUGGCAGGAGUUUGUACAACUCCUUUUCCUGAAUCUCUCCAACAGAGGCGGAGAAUGCAAAAUUAGUAUGACUCAUAGAGCCAGAGUGGCCGUAUUAAUGGGAAUUAUAGUAGUUUUAUGGUUGGAAUAAACAGAGACUCCUCAUAAAGUUAGCUGGUAUAUGUUUUGAAGGCAGUAAAAAUCAAUGUGUGUUCAACCAGUUCAGAGCCGCAGCUUUUAGUUAUUCGCUGUGUUUGGAUUUGCAGGUGAUGGAAACCUGCUUUUUGCACACAAAUUCUCCGUCCUACUGUAAAACCACUCUACAGCGUCUCCCACAAUGCAGCGACAAUGCUCGAGAAAUAAUUCCAUUUCCAGCUGCAUGUUACAAACAGAACAAUUGUGCGACGCCGCAGGUUAAUUCACGGCUUUGAUGGAUGCUGAAUCAAGGCUGUCGCUGCGAGCACAGAAGAAGCCACGGCAAUUAGAAAAGCCCUGUGUGUGAGAGUUGGCUGCUGCAUGCACCGCUGGGCAUAAAUGAGUCUAGCAGCCCGGGCAACGUAGGCAGGGCUUUAACACAACACCACAGACACGCCUAAGACUCCCAUUGUGCCUCUCGCUAAUCCAUUUCCAUCCUAACAAGCUGCUGCCUUCGAACCCAGCCAUCCAACCGCAAGCCUGUCCACCGUCUGCUGGGCUUGGUUCAGCUCCAGUGUUCUGACUUUCAGCAGCCAUUUUAAGCUCUCUCUGGCAGCACUCGCCCUCCUCUGUGUCGAGACAAAGCUGCAAUGUUUUCUGCAUUGAAGUGCUGCUACUGUACUUGCUUGAAUGCAUGUUGCUCUGAGUGGCUGGCUGUAGUUUUUAGUCAGUAUUAGGUUCAUUCCAGAAUUGGAGGACAUUUGGGCUUCAACAUUUUUGAAAAAUUAACCUUCUCUUUUACAAUUUUCUGCUACAUAUUCUUCAAUAAUAGGUAAUAAACUAUUAGAGGCUUGACUGGCUCAGCUUACACAUCAAUGGUACAAUUUUUAUGAUGUUUUAUUUGUUGCUUGCUAACCCUACUCUAAACACAGUAACAGGGUUGCUAAUUCAUGCUAAUGUUAGCUUUUUCUCAGCAGUAGAAGUUAGAUAUUUAGCUAGCUGUUACUGCUGACCAAGAGGACAAACUGAUUGAUGGAAAAAAGUCAAAAGAAUUUGUCUUAUCCUGAUAGUAUGAGGUAGAGUGAGACAUUCAAAAAAGGCUGACAAUGUUAUGAAAAUAUGGAAAAUUGUUUGAUAAUGUUAAUUCCAGUGUAUCGUGUGAUUCAAAGUUUUCUUCUUCUUCUACCUGCUAAAAAGGUUAUGCUAACAGGGUUGUUGUGGGAGACACGUUCCAUGCACAAUAUGGAAUAUGCAAAAUAUUAUGUUGAUUAAAAAAUGUUCCCACUAUUACAAGAGACAUCAAUACAAAAAACAAAAAACAAAAACAAAAAAACACUAUUGGUCAUACUUUGGUCAUCAUCUGGGUGGGACAAGGGAAAAAUGACAUUUUCAGAGGAACUCCAGACUUAUUUGGUGUUGUAAAAAAUAUUUUCAAGCAUUCUUUUCUCUUAGUUAUUUUUUUAUUUGGUCUCAGGACAAGUAAAUUUACACAAUAACUGCACGUUUUAGUGUUUUGUACAUGGAUUAUUUGAAAUUUUAUGAGUCAAAUGUCCUUCAAUUCUGGAAUGACCCAUUAAUCUGAUUGUUUUUAGUCUGUGCGAAUCAUAAUUUAUGAAAGAUUCAGCCUCAUAGAAACCUACAUCUUGAGCUUGACUCACUCAAACGACAGCAUAAAUACUCCAUUAUUCAACCAGAACACAAAGCUGUCCUCUGCGUCACCUUAAACCUCUUAUUAUUUGGAUGGCAUGCUGAUUACUUCUGCAACCUUCAGAUACUCACAGCUCAGGAGGAUGUUUUUUAUUUCCACCUACUGAGGAAUAAACAGACAGAAAAAUAUGCGCCUUUAGUUCUGUGCUAAUAAAGCAGCUGAGACACCGCUGAGAAAUCAACAGUGCCUUUUCUCUAUUGGGCUGAGAAACUGUCGAGGCACUUGAGCUGCACUAUUUAUUGUCCUCACAGCUGAGAACGUUACCUCAGGUGAGAGAGCUGAGUGGCCGAUAAACAAACGAAAUUAAUAAGAGCAUCCGAACCCAUUGUACGAGCACCUGCUGCGAAUAAGUUUUUAUUGAAAUCCCGAAAGAAAUGAAGUUUGACGGGGCUUUUUUUUCUCCUUUUUGCAUCUUUUCGCCCGACUACACCUCUUAUCCCACCUGUUAUCAAAGUGACAAACCUGGCUGUCAACUUGAGCACUGACAUACACCCACAGUGAGGCGGUGGGUGUGGGGAGAUAAAAUGAUACACGAGGAGAUGACACAGGAUGAUUUGAGAAGAGAACAGGGGGCGGGAAGCUUCCGGUAAGUCAGCUUGAAAAGGUAUGAAAAUGCAAAAACUAUUCUGGCUGGAAAUGGCUGAUUUUUAAUGAAACUACUAUAGAGCAACUUUAGCCAAUAUGAACCAAUGCUGACUAAAGCAGAGCAACUUGAACUCAUUUUUGAGCAACUUUAAAUAAUAUAGAGCAACUUUAACUAAUGUAGAGCAACUUUAAUGUAGAGCAAUUUUAAUAUAUAAGGAGUAACUUUAACUCAUUAAGAGCAACUUUAACUAAUAUGGAGUAAUUUUAGCUCAUUUUUGAACAACUUUAAAUAGUAUAGAGCAAGUUUAACUAAUUUAGAGCAACUUUUUGUCAGUGCCGAUUAGAGGAUGAGCUGCAGCUGCAGGACUUGGGCAGCUGCAGUUAAUUUCUCAUCCGCCUCCACUAUAAAGUCCGGCGCUGGACUCUGCACACAGUGCCGGAUCAUUUUCUCUCCUCCUCUCAGUGACACGUACUGAGACUGAAAUUAGCCGACAGAGCAGCCUGCGUUUGUCCGAGCCGUCUGCCAGAUCGUAGACGCGGACCACUGCCGUCCUCCAGAACAGAGGACGUGGACCUUCCCCCCCCGACUGCUCCGAUUGGCUGGCCCGCUCCCCAGAAGGACCCGGGGUUGACCCUGGCCAUCACAGCCGCGCGCUGACCGGUUAAAUCUUUAAUUUGUUUGGAAGUAUUUUUAGGUGUGCGCUGCACAGAGGCCGGUGACAGGUGUGGCGUAUUGGCAAUCAGCUGAUUGUGCGCAGGUGGAAGCCAGAGGAUUACCGACUCCAUUCGUCGGUUGAUGCCGGACUGUCCUCGACCUUACAAAGCUGACUUUCACCUGCUUGUGGUCACCUGGCUCUGCUGGUUCCAUCAUCGUCUGCCUGGCCUCCGUUCUCUAGUGGAUUCCAUUCAGCCGUGGAGACUCCCCUGCCACCAGCCUUCCCCUCCUGGAGAACACCUACCGAGCCCUGGAACACUCCGUGCCUCCCUAAGACGUAUAACCACCUGCCCAAGCCUCCGGACGCCAUUCUCCAUCCUGGCCGUUCGAACCGGGGACUUCGUCUAAGGAUUGGAUGGAGUCUGCACCCCUCCCUAGUAGAACUACUUCCUGUUUAGUCAGCUAAGUUCUUAGCCCUAACGACACCAGACUGUUUUGUCUUGCUAUGUAUUUCGUAUUAGUGGGUUUUCAUAGUUACUCGUAGUUGUAGUCUGGGCUUUUAGUGGAGGUUAUUGCAGACUAGGUUCUUGGUUUUUUUUGGAUAGUUUAUUUCAGUUGUAUUCCUGCCCUGGUGUUACCAGUAUUGGGUUUACUUAGUUUCUGUUUUUUAGGAUUUGUAAUUGCCCUCCGAGCCACUAGAGGCUGUCUUGAUCUGUUUGUUCCCAUAGAGUAGGUUACACUUCUGGUUCCGGAAUUCAGUUCCUAGUUGGGAUUUGUAGUCCUUGAGUUUUUUGUGUGUAAAAGCUUUUUGUAAAUCGUGCAACUGCUUUCAUUGUUACUUUCAUUUCCUGCAUCUGAGCCUCUACACCUGCCGUAACAUUUUAUUCUUUUGUAUUAUUUUCGACAUUGUAGAUUCAUACUGAAGAUUAACAUUUUUUGUUUACAACAUAAUUCCAUAUAUAUUUGUAUGUGUACUUUUAUAGUUUUGAUGUAUUCAGUAUUAAUUUACAAUGUAUAAAAUAAUUAAAGAAAAACCAUUGAAUGAGAA